rnacentral:misc_RNA from 1 species
CACCAGUGCUCGAGAAAAAGAGACACAAAAUGCCGCCUGAAGGCGUUUCUGGCAUCCACACGCAUAACAAUGGAGAAGUGAGAACAUAGGCCUUGGAGGCAGCCUCCUUCACGACGGCUCUGCAUGUUUCGCCUGCCUGCCGGUGCUUCGGCUCAACAAAACACACACCGGCGCGUGUCAGUUUCUGACGCCUAGCUUACCCCCUCAAACCCGGGGAAGGGGGGGGGCACUGUGCUGUGGCGUCACGUUAGGAUGGCCGGCUUCGCUACGGUGAAUAGAUGCGUGCAUUCUACCAUAAUCCUCCCUUCCCCCUCCCCAAUCUUUAUCUUUCACCACCACCACCGCAAUUAUGGCGGCUACGCGCACUGCCCAUCAUCCCAUCCGUUGUUAUCGUUGCGGGCUGCUCAUGCGAAAUACCCCCGACCACGCUCCUGGAACGCAUGCGCACAUACACGCGUUGCGCUCCACAUCCCUCUCUCCUCCAUCAUCUCCAACAUGUGAAG